UCUCUUCCGAGCUGUCGGGUUGUUUGGGAAUGCAGCCCCGAUCGGGCGGUAAAUUCCGUCCAAGGCUAAAUACGGGCGAGAGACCGAUAGCGAACAAGUACCGCGAGGGAAAAAUGAAAAGGACUUUGAAAAGAGAGUCAAAGAGUGCUUGAAAUUGUCGGGAG